GUAGAGCGACAUAGGCGCACAGUGGCAGGAGAGAGAGAGAGCGAGAGAGCGAGAGAGCGAGAGAGAGAGGAGCGGUCCCUCUUUUCCUUUGUCUGACGCUCCGUCUCGAGCUUUUGGGACAUUACUUGAAGGCACGUCAUCAUGCUCACAGUACACUGGAACCUUAAACUCAGACGGCCCGUUAAAUGUUCCCCAAAUGUUUGGGAGACAGACGUAGGACCUCCAGAGUCAUCUAUGAAGAAGCGUUCGGGAUGAAGAGGCAGAACACUUAGAUUUUUGGGAGAAGAUGAAGACUCUGGAUUUAAACCCCUGGAGCAGCUUUGCCAUUCGAGGCAUACAUGGAAAUGUAAAAACCUGGAUAUACUUUGGAGAUUAAAAAGCUCACCAGGAUGGCAGUGUACCUACGUUGCAACGCCUGCAGACACACGUGGCCACCAGUUGACCUGGUUUCUCUGCCUCCUUUUCCAGUCCCAAAACUGUCUGUUCGCACAUCUGGAUGACCCGAUACGACGUUGACGAACAACUUGUUCAACAAGUACCUUUUUGACAAGGAGGAGGGGAACUAAAAAAGAAGGAAAACGAGCCCUGCUGAUGACGCCAUGGCUAAAGAGUAACAGGAUGCGAAAGAAAGAUAAAUUGGAGAAAGAUGGGGGUGGCGUUGUACAGCGAGACAUCUCCUUGAUGUUAAUCGUGGCCUACUGACCUUCCAGUCACCUGUUCUGGCGCACUGUCUGCUCUGGCACUCUGUCUCGCUGAAGUUGUAACACAAAGAAAUCUAUGGUCAGCUGAGCACAAUCAGCUAAAGUUUGAGAAGGUGGAUCACAUGCAGCUUCGAAGCUUUGAAUCGGCAUGUCAACAUUGUGGAGCACUGACUCCUCUGGAGAUGGAGCUGAACCCUUAACCUCCAGCAGUGCAAAGACUUGGCAGUCCAGGACUUUGCUAUUGGCAGGCUAUUCGAGAAACAGCAAGGAUGCUGGUGUGUGUGUGUUUUAUUUUGUGUGUUGCUAAGUGUGAACUUUAUCUUGG